rnacentral:rRNA from 1 species
UACGUGAGGGUGCGAGCGUUAAUCGGAAUUACUGGGCGUAAAGCGUGCGCAGGCGGUGAUGUAAGACAGGAUGUCGAAAUCCCCGGGCUCACCUGGGACCUGCAUUGUGACUGCAUCGCUAGAGUACGGCAGAGGGGAUGGAAUUCCGCGUGUAGCAGUGAAAUGCGUAGAUAUGCGGAGGAACACCGAUGGCGAAGGCAAUCCCCGUGGGCCUGUACUGACGCUCAUGCACGAAAGCGUGGGGAGCAAACAGG